rnacentral:misc_RNA from 1 species
CGAAAACGCCAAAAUCGCCGUCAUCCAGUUCCAGAUCUCACCUCCUAAAACCGACAUUGAGCAGAGUAUUGUUGUCUCCGAUUACACCCAGAUGGACAGGAUCCUCCGUGAGGAGCGCAACCAUAUACUCGGGAUGGUGAAGAAGGUGAAGGCCACCGGGUGUAAUGUCCUGCUCAUCCAGAAGAGUAUUUUGAGGGACGCUGUGACUGACCUGUCACUGCAUUACCUUUCCAAGGCAAAAAUUCUUGUGAUUAAGGAUGUUGAGCGUGACGAGAUUGAGUUUAUCACUAAGACACUGAACUGCCUGCCUAUUGCUAAUAUUGAGCAUUUCCGUGAGGAGAAGCUGGGGUUUGCGGAGUUGGUGGAGGAGAUCUCGAUUGGGGAUGGGAAGAUAGUGAAGAUUACGGGGAUCAAGAACAUGGGGAGGACGACCACUGUACUUGUUCGUGGAUCUAACCAGCUGGUGCUUGAUGAGGCGGAGCGGAGUCUGCAUGAUGCUCUCUGUGUUGUCAGGUGCUUGGUGAACAAGAAGUUUCUGAUUGCUGGUGGGGGUGCACCAGAAAUAGAGAUGUCAAGGCAGCUUGGGGCCUGGGCCAAGGAGCUGCAGGGGAUGGAGAGCUAUUGUGUUAAGGAG